rnacentral:rRNA from 2 species
AGAUGAGUUCUCCCUGACCCUUUAAGGGUCCUGAAGGAACGUUGAAGACGACGACGUUGAUAGGCCGGGUGUGUAAGCGCAGCGAUGCGUUGAGCUAACCGGUACUAAUGAACCGUGAGGCUUAACCUUACAACGCCGAAG